rfam:Rattus norvegicus chromosome 15, whole genome shotgun sequence.
GGGGAUUUAGCUCAGUGGUAGAGCACUUGCCUAGCAAGCACAAGGCCCUGGGUUCGGUCCCCAGCUCCA